UACGGAGGAUGCAAGCGUUAUCCGGAUUUAUUGGGUUUAAAGGGUGCGUAGGCGGAUAAAUAAGUCAGUGGUGAAAGCCUGCAGCUUAACUGUAGAAUUGCCAUUGAUACUGUUUAUCUUGAGUACAGCUGAGGUGGGCGGAAUAUGACAUGUAGCGGUGAAAUGCUUAGAUAUGUCAUAGAACACCGAUUGCGAAGGCAGCUCACUAAACUGUCACUGACGCUGAGGCACGAAAGCGUGGGGAGCAAACAGGAUUAGAUACCCUGGUAGUCCACGCCCUAAACUAUGAUCACUCGAUGUUGGCGAUACACUGUCAGCGUCUAAGGGAAACCAUUAAGUGAUCCACCUGGGGAGUACGGUCGCAAGACUGAA
rnacentral:rRNA from 1 species